rnacentral:rRNA from 1 species
AAACCUGCCCUUUAGCGGGGGAUAGCCCUGGAAACCGGGGGGUAAUACCGCAUACGCUCAUUUUAUCGCAUGGUAGGAUGAGGAAAAGCCUUGCUUGAUAGAGCAGGGUUACUGAAGGAGGGCUUUGCGGCCUAUCAGGUAGUUGGUGAGGUAACGGCUCACCAAGCCAAAGACGGGUAGCUGGUCUGAGAGGAUGGUCAGCCACACUGGAACUGAGACACGGUCCAG